rnacentral:rRNA from 1 species
GGCUCAGAACGAACGCUGGCGGCGUGCUUAACACAUGCAAGUCGAACGAACCUUCGGGUUAGUGGCGGACGGGUGAGUAACGCGUGAGAAUCUGCCCUCAGGAGGGGGAUAACGGUUGGAAACGACCGCUAAUACCCCAUAUGCCGAGAGGUGAAAAGAAAUUCGCCUGAGGAUGAGCUCGCGUCUGAUUAGCUAGUUGGUGUGGUAAUGGCGCACCAAGGCUUCGAUCAGUAGCUGGUCUGAGAGGAUGAUCAGCCACACUGGGACUGAGACACGGACCAGACUCCUACGGGA